UACGUGAGGGUGCGAGCGUUUGUCCGGAAUUAUUGGGCGUAAAGAGCUCGUAGGCGGUUGUGUCGACGUCGGCCCGUGAAAACCUGACAGCUUAACUGUGGGCCGUGCGGUCGAUACGGGCAUCACUGGAGUUCGGCAGGGGAGACUGGAAUUCCUGGAUGUAGCGGUGAAAGUGCGCAGAUAUCAGGAGGAACAGCCGGUGGCGAAGGCGGGUCUCUGGGCCGAUACGUGACGCUGGAGGAGCGAAAGCGUGGGGAGCAAACAGG
rnacentral:rRNA from 1 species